rnacentral:rRNA from 1 species
UGGGGAAUAUUGGACAAUGGGCGAAAGCCUGAUCCAGCCAUGCCGCGUGUGUGAAGAAGGUCUUCGGAUUGUAAAGCACUUUAAGUUGGGAGGAAGGGCAUUAACCUAAUACGUUAGUGUUUUGACGUUACCGACAGAAUAAGCACCGGCUAACUCUGUGCCAGCAGCCGCGGUAAUACAGAGGGUGCAAGCGGUAAUCGGAAUUACUGGGCGUAAAGCGCGCGUAGGUGGUUUGUUAAGUUGGAUGUGAAAUCCCCGGGCUCAACCUGGGAACUGCAUUCAAAACUGACUGACUAGAGUAUGGUAGAGGGUGGUGGAAUUUCCUGUGUAGCGGUGAAAUGCGUAGAUAUAGGAAGGAACACCAGUGGCGAAGGCGACCACCUGGACUAAUACUGACACUGAGGUGCGAAAGCGUGGGGAGCGAACA